rnacentral:RNase_P_RNA from 6 species
UCAGUCGGUCGGGCAGCCGCGCUUGUCAUAUGCCGAAAGGCGGCAGGUGAGGAAAGUCCGGGCUCCAUGGAAAUACGGUGCCGGGUAACGCCCGGCGGGGGUGACCCCAGGGAUAGUGCCACAGAAAGUAGACCGCCCCGUCUUCCGUACCGCUUUCAAGAAGCGGCAGGGAUGACGGGGUAAGGGUGAAAGGGUGGGGUAAGAGCCCACCGCGCCGGUGGCAACACAGGCGGCACGGUAAACCCCACUGGGAGCAAAACCGAAUAGGGACGGCGCAUCAGCCCGAAAGAGCUGAUAAUCAAUUUCCGGAUCAGCCGUCCGGGUGGGUUGCAAGAGGUGGGUGGCGACAUCCGUCCCAGAUGAAUGGCUGCCACGUUGGACGCAAGUCCGGCCAUACAGAACCCGGCUUACAGACCGACUGACAUU